UACAGAGGUCCCGAGCGUUGUUCGGAUUUACUGGGCGUAAAGGGUCCGCAGGCGGGCUGACAAGUCGGUGGUGAAAGUUCACGGCUCAACCGUGAAAUUGCCUUCGAUACUGUCAGUCUUGAGUUCGAGAGAGGAUAAUGGAAUUCAUGGUGUAGCGGUGAAAUGUGUAGAGAUCAUGAAGAACACCGGUAGCGAAGGCGGUUAUCUGGCUCGAAACUGACGCUCAGGGACGAAAGCGUGGGUAGCAAACAGG
rnacentral:rRNA from 1 species